AUGCACAUCAGAUCCCUUCGAGCAUUUUCAAAAUUCAAUUAUUUUAGACAACAGGCACAUAUGCAAUACUGACAUAAUCUCAAAUACCACUAAGCAGCUGGGACACAUUUUUGUUGACCAUACUCGCAGGUAAAAUAAGUAGAUCAUAUGGACAGCUCCAGCUCAUUUUCCUUAAAUCAGUGUGUACAGGGGGUAUGCAAAAAUAAUCUUUUUCUCGCGCACCGAUUAUUUUGCUGUAUAAGCAAGAGAACCCACCACGUUAGUGUAACGUAUCUUGUACAUCCCACUAAUAUGUGGUUUAAUUUACCAAGUGAGAUGAGUUACUUUUAUGGCUCAUUCAGUCAUAUCGCACUGCAAGCUGCAUUCAUCAAUCUUCAAUUGGAUUUUGCAAAUGCUUAAUGAAACAUGCUUCCCUUUUAUGCAGAUAUGCAAUGGCAAGCCCUUCCGUGUGUUCCAAAGACAAUGCCUACGCCUAGCCACAGCAGCUCCCUCAUACAGACUCCGCAAGCAAAGAGGCCGUGGAGGCAAAUGCAGCCAGCACACCUCGAACAGCCACCUUGACUGCGGGUGUGUCACCCUAGUCGCCAAGGAAACAUUUGAGGGAAAGCGAUAAGCAGUGUGAACAGCCACUUCU
rnacentral:lncRNA from 1 species